UGGGUCGCCUGCGAGCGAAGG
rnacentral:misc_RNA from 1 species